CUUGUUCACGUGAGGUGUCAUAUAGAUGGAGGUGACAUUUUGCCCGUGGACACUCUAUUGAUGGUCCAUGAGACCGCAACCCACUCCAU
rnacentral:SRP_RNA from 1 species